AGGACCGUGAAGCUGACAGAGUCCGGAGGGGGCCUUCAGACACCCGGGGGGUCCCUCACCCUCUGCUGCAAGGGCUCCGGCUUCACCUUCAGCAGCUUCGAAAUGUUCUGGAUUCGACAGGCACCCGGGAAGGGUCUGGAGUUCGUCGCACAAAUUAGCAGCAGUGGUAGUGACACAAACUACGCGCCGUCGGUGAAGGGUCGCUUCACCAUCUCCAGGGACAACUCCCAGAGCACGGUCACGCUGCAGAUGAACAGCCUCAAGGAGGACGACACGGCCACCUACUACUGCGCCAAAGGUUAUAGUAGUGGUUGUGGUGGUCCUUAUGCUGUUGGUGGCUCCAUCCCCAUCUCCGUGUCCCCACAUCCCUGCAAAACGUCUCCAGGGAAAGGGUCGUGA